rnacentral:rRNA from 1 species
AUUGAACGCUGGCGGCAGGCCUAACACAUGCAAGUCGAACGAGUGGCGGACGGGUGAGUAAUGUCUGGGAAACUGCCUGAUGGAGGGGGAUAACUACUGGAAACGGUAGCUAAUACCGCAUACCAUCGGAUGUGCCCAGAUGGGAUUAGCUAGUAGGUGGGGUAAAGGCUCACCUAGGCGACGAUCCCUAGCUGGUCUGAGAGGAUGACCAGCCACACGGGAACUGAGACAGGGUCAAGACUCCUACGGGACGAACCAGGGGGGGAUAUUGGACAAUGGGUGCAAGCCUGAUGCAGCCAUGCCGCGUGUAUGGAGGCGGCCUUCGGGUUGUAAAGUCCUUUCAGCGGGGGGGCGUUACCCGCAGAAGAAGCACCGGCUAACUCCGUGCCAGCAGCCGCGGUAAUUC